rnacentral:lncRNA from 1 species
GUGUAGGACUGGAUUUAUGGUUUGUUUAGGCAGAUCUGUGGAAAGUCCAAGGUAUUUCCCAAGGCUCUCUAACUUGGUGUGUCUCAACCUCCAAACCCUGUCUCCUCUGCUAAUCUUAACAGGGCUUAGUUGUAACUAUUUUAGGGAGGGUCAAGAGUAAGCCUUACCCUAGAGUGUGGUCUUUACUCCUAAAACAGAGUGUUUCUGGAGUAUCAGCUGAAUGCUCAGGGUGGUAAAGAGUUGUUAACAAGGUCUGAAUUCCAAUGUUGCCAGCACUGAUCUGUUCUCUUUUCCAUCCUGUAGCAUCUGUCAUCUUGGAAGCCUUGGGUGUUGGCUCUCAGCACAUGAGCACCCAACACUUAGCAAAUGACCUGAGGGGGACCCAAUAUGGAUUUCUCACAACUGGCCUCUAAACUGUUUUCUCCUCUUCUGUGCUCUGCUCUGCAGAUUCCAGUUGCUUCAGUUGCUGUAAUUCUGAUCUCUGCCUUCUCAGCUCAGUGUGAAGACCAUGCUCUCUUGGGACUCCAACUUGCUGUAGCACUGUCAGGCCAUUUCCCCAAUCCUCUCUCAGGGAAUCACAGAGUUGCACUGCUUCUGUCCAGUGUCCAUAAACAGAAAAAGUAAUGAUUCCUGGGAGCAGGGUUCCAAGAGGAAGGACCACGCGCCCCCUCGUGGCCGCCUCGGGGAUCCGUAGAGCCCGGCAACGGCGGGUACUCAAUUAGAAGAGAAUCAAGUAAAACGCGCUGGACUCUGGGCGAUGCUCGAGACUUUGAAAUUAAAAGUCGUGAGCGCUACAAGCCGAGCUAGCAGGAUGAGACAAAGCCAUGAGCUUCUCUUCUCCGUUGCAGUUUGGGAUCAGUUGCCCAAAUGUAAAAUAUCUGAGCCAAGACCGAAGGCAACCUCGGCGCGUUGCUGAUGAGAAAAUAAGUUUAUAAAGAGUUUGAUGGAUUUCCUCCCGCCCGGGGCUGAGCGACGCUAAAUCACGCGGCAGGCCUUUGAUCGUUCCUACUUCUGAGAUCAAGGAGGGGCCCAGGGUAGCGAAUAGAAAUUGCUGCGCGGAGGUAGCGUCGGGCUGAGGGAGCGACUCCGCCCUCCCCGGGCCUUUGAGAACAGCCUCUCCUAGUGCUCGUUUCCGCCCAGACGCAACUCCAGACUUCGAUGACCAGGAUAGAAGGAUCUUUUUCAAUCCAUCCCAAGAGGUCCCACCAAGACUUACCACGGAUCCACCUCCUUAGUCCUGUUACUGAAAUUUUCCAACUUUCUUCGACAAUCGUGGGUGCACAAGUGAAAGUUCACGCGGCGCCAAGCGCACUUUCUGCGCCUCAGCCCUGCGCGUUCUCCGCCUCUCCUCUGGGGCCUGUUGGGGAAAUAAGAAAUUGAGACAAAGGAACACGCACAUUAAUAAAGUAUUAACUAAGUUUACUAUUGAGAAAAAAAAUAUCCGAGUGCAUGUUUCAAGGUGGCCCGCAAAUGGCUACAAAAUUAUAGUGGGCUUUCAGUCAUAUUUAUACGGAAUUAAAUCUACAGUUGUCAUUGUCCUACUUUUAUUAAACAGUCAGCAUUACUCAAUUUGCUCCAGUAAUGAUAUUAAGGUUACUCUGACGUCCCAGGAGGGCUGGGACGGAGUCGGAGAGCCCCCGGGGUGACCGUUUGUUACGUUUCCU